GGCUGUGUUCGGUAGUGCUGGCUGUGGCUGCAGCUGUAGCAGCCACCCAGCAGCAGCUACAGGCGCUGCAGCAGCCUAGCAAGUAAUCUGGUAGGAUUGAUCUUAAUCAUGACCUUCAUCGUAUAUUUAUUUGGAAAUGGAUCAACUUUGUUAAGACCAUGUGCUCCGACUGUUUCUUUUUUUAGCUGUGCAGCCAAUCGGCUGAGCUUCGCAGCACUGUAGCUAUAGGUGUACACAAGAUUAGACAGGAGAGAGAUAUUUAGGCAGGCUGAUGGAGAGUAGGCUGCCUGCUGC
rnacentral:lncRNA from 1 species